GACGAACGCUGGCGGCGCGCCUAACACAUGCAAGUCGAACGAGCGAGAGAGAGCUUGCUUUCUUGAGCGAGUGGCGAACGGGUGAGUAACGCGUGAGGAACCUGCCUCAAAGAGGGGGACAACAGUUGGAAACGACUGCUAAUACCGCAUAAGCCCACGGUGCCGCAUGGCACAGAGGGAAAAGGAGCAAUCCGCUUUGAGAUGGCCUCGCGUCCGAUUAGCUAGUUGGUGAGGUAACGGCCCACCAAGGCGACGAUCGGUAGCCGGACGGAGAGGUUGAACGGCCACAUUGGGACUGAGACACGGCCCAGACUCCUACGGGAGGCAGCAGUGGGGAAUAUUGCACAAGGGGGGAAACCCUGAUGCAGCGACGCCGCGUGGAGGAAGAAGGUCUUCGGAUUGUAAACUCCUGUUGUUGGGGAAGAUAAUGACGGUACCCAACAAGGAAGUGACGGCUAACUACGUG
rnacentral:rRNA from 1 species